GAUGAAGAACGUAGCGAAAUGCGAUACUUGGUGUGAAUUGCAGAAUCCCGUGAACCAUCGAGUCUUUGAACGCAAGUUGCGCCUCAAGCCAUUAGGUUGAGGGCACGUCUGCCUGGGCGUCACAUAUCGUUGCCUGAUGCCAGUUUCCUCGUGAUGGGUGACUGUGCAGGGCGAAUGAUGGCUUCCCGUGAGCAUUGUUGCCUCAUGGUUGGUUGAAAAUUGAGUCCUUGGUAGGGAACGCCGUGAUAGAUGGUGGUUGAGUGACGAACGAGACCCAAUCAUGUGAGACCCCUACCGAAUUUGGCCUUCAUGACCCACAUGCGUCUUUGGAACGCUCAUGACGAGACCUCAGGUCAGGCGGGGCUACCCGCUGAGUUUAAGCAUAUCAAUAAGCGGAGGA
rnacentral:misc_RNA from 1 species